rnacentral:rRNA from 1 species
GAUCAUGGCUCAGAUUGAACGCUGGCGGCAUGCCUUACACAUGCAAGUCGAACGGCAGCACGGGGCAACCUGGUGGCGAGUGGCGAACGGGUGAGUAAUGCAUCGGAACGUGCCAUUGAGUGGGGAUAACGUAGCGAAAGUUGCGCUAGUACCGCAUAUUCUGUGAGCAGGAAAGCAGGGGACCGCAAGGCCUUGCGCUCUUUGAGCGGCCGAUGUCAGAUUAGCUAGUUGGUGGGGUAAAGGCCCACCAAGGCGACGAUCCGUAGCGGGUCUGAGAGGAUGAUCCGCCACACUGGAACUGAGACACGGUCCAGACUCCUACGGGAGGCAGCAGUGGGGAAUUUUGGACAAUGGGCGCAAGCCUGAUCCAGCCAUGCCGCGUGAGUGAAGAAGGCCUUCGGGUUGUAAAGCUCUUUCGGUGGGGAAGAAAUUGCUUGGGUUAAUACCCUGAGUAGAUGACGGUACCCGCAUAAGAAGCACCGGCUAACUACGUG